CCUACGGGAGGCAGCAGUGGGGAAUAUUGGACAAUGGGCGCAAGCCUGAUCCAGCCAUGCCGCGUGAGUGAUGACGGCCUUAGGGUUGUAAAGCUCUUUUACCCGGGAAGAUAAUGACUGUACCGGGAGAAUAAGCCCCGGCUAACUUCGUGCCAGCAGCCGCGGUAAU
rnacentral:rRNA from 1 species